UCUCUCUCUCGCAUCGAUGGGAGCGGCGUCGAUUGCCCAGCGAGAGUGCGCGAGCGAGCUGCCCGGCUUUCCGAUGCCAUAGAGCAGGUCGGCCCAUGUGCACAAUUUCACAUAUGUACAUUCAUCAAGCAAGGCUCAGCUUGGAUCAAGCUCGACAUCCUCAUCAUACAUGCCAUGAAGUUGUCAAGCAGGGUCUCUUGGUGGAGUGCCAAGACCAAAGGUGGAGAAGAUGCUCAUGAAGCCCAGAAUUAGAAGGGAUGUGGAUAAUUUAUGGGAUGUGAGAAAGAACAAUUGUGAAGAAUAAAGUUGUCCGAUUAUCGAUAGGAUGGACAUCUAAUGUAAAGCUAAGGGGAAGCUGCUUAAUUGACUGAUCCUGUUUGGACCAUUCGACUUGGAAGGUUUUGGUGCAGUAUUUUUGUGACUGGUUUAUGGAAAUGUCAUAGAAGAGAAACUUUUUCUGUAAGCAAUGCAGACCAUCAGUAUCAGCACAAAGAGAUCUUUCAGUUCAAGUGGCCCAAGGUUGUCACUGCGGCUUCCUCCUAUAUACUACAGUGUGAGUUAAAAGAACAAGGCCAUUGAGAUCUUUCUCAAUCAGACUAGGAGAAUCACCUUAUUGGAUGUCUAUGAUGUCACCCUCGAUUCACGUGAGAAGAGCCAGGGUGGUGGUACAAUUCCGUGAAGCAGCCUGUGCCUGUAAUAUAUCGACUGUCUAUGAUGUCGCCUAAGGAUCAUGUAGAGGCAGGUCUCCUGAUCCAUUUAUGUGAGACAGGGACUGCUUCCCUGUAGAGCAUGUAGAAGCAGAUCCUCUAGUCUAACCCCUGGCUUCAGUGAAUGCCUGUGCCAUUGUUCUGUCGGAGCAGCCUAUAUCCAGAGUGUACUUUCUACCAUCUCUCUCCAUUUCUUAAUCUCUGAACUGUCGCUCACUUCUACUGCUUACAUUCAUCUACAGGUUGGAUUCAAUCAGCAUGGAAGAUUAAUCGAUUGAAGCCUUCCACCCCAUAAUAUGAGUGGAUGGGUUGAUGAGACUACUAAACGGCACAGCUUCACCAACUUCCUUUAAUGCCAGACUUUCCUCGGACAGCUGAAGAUUCUGUUCUUAUCACUGAGGCAUCGCCCAUCUAGUGCACCCAACACGAUCAUCAUCAUGGAGGAAAGGAUCAAGGUGGGCAAGUGCCUUGUUGGUCCGAUCAUAUCUGAUAAUAGUGAGGAGCAACUCAUCCAGUCCCAAAUGCCGGCUGAUCUCUCAUGGUGCUUCAUCUCAGAACGUGCUAGGAAACUGAUAUCCCACUCACCGUCUUGUCUCAGUCCAAGCUUUGGUGAAGCAAGGAAGGUGGUGGUGGGAAACAAAAUGCUGGUCUCUGUAUGAUGUUGCCUUUGCUCCCAUUCAUCCUACCAUUCCAUUAUGUGGACAUCAUUUAAAAAAAAUUGAC